AUAGUUCUCUUCCCAGCGGGAAGUGAGCUUUCUUAAAACGAAAAAGAGAAGCAACUCCAUCGUUUGAAGAAAAGCAAGGGAAAGGAAAAUAGUGCUUUUCCAUGUAGCUGAUGCCGUCCUACUAACCCUUGCUUUUCAAUUUCAAUGAUAAGGGUAUAGUCUCAUUAGAGACUCUGGCUAUGCCAUCAAGGAAGACAUUGUUGUAGAAAAUUGCGGGGGUUUUGUUUGAGGAGCUCUUGUUAUAGGGGAACUGAUCUUUCUAAAAAAAAGGAAGAGAAAGAAGGGCUCGAUAUCUUACUCGAUCGUUUAUGAAGAAAAACAAAGAAAGGGGAGAGAAAAGUGAAGAAGAAUGGCGAUGUUUUUUGCAUUUGGCUGAAUUCAUAGCGGACCCCCGUAAAGAAGGGUCUUUUGAAGACUCCUUUGUUCAGAAAAAACGAGUUAAAGUUUCCCUUAAGGUAGUAUACAAUGAGCUUCUUUUUAAUUGCAUAAUAGCCUAUUUACCCUUGCUUUCAAUGAUACAGGAGUAUAGUCUCAUUUGAAACUCUGGCUAUGCCAUCAAUUAAGACAUUAUUGCUGGAACUAUGCGGAUUUUCUUUUUGAAGCUUUUGUGAUAUUA